AGAUUUUACAUGGCUCUGACACUAAGUUUAUAACUCAGAUGCAGAAUAGAAUCUGUUUUCCAAGUACAAGCUGGACAUCAAGGGAUGGGGCGGGAAGCUGGCAGUCCUAAAACCCGAGGCAGAAACCAUGGGAGAAGAUAAUGCAGCAGAGAUGAAGUGAGGAAAGCCUUUCUUAAGAGGCAGCAAGACCUCAAGGCUGGGUCAAAAUCCAGAGUUCCCUUCAAAGCUACCUAAAGCUCAUGCCACCCAGAGGUCUGAUGCCAUCUCUGUGAUAUUAUCAGCUUGCGAGCAUGGUCUCCUACAACUAAACCUGACAAUGGAUGAAGAGAAAGAACUGGUACCAUCUACUGGACUGACAUGAUUUAAGUGAACA
rnacentral:lncRNA from 1 species